rnacentral:rRNA from 1 species
CACGCAGGCGGUUUGGCAAGUCGGAUGUGAAAACCCGAAGCUCAACUUCGGGCCUGCAUCCGAAACCGCCCGACUAGAGGUAGGUAGGGGAGAUCGGAAUUCCUGGUGUAGCGGUGAAAUGCGCAGAUAUCAGGAGGAACACCGGUGGCGAAGGCGGAUCUCUGGGCCUUACCUGACGCUCAGGUGCGAAAGCUAGGGGAGCGAACA